rnacentral:rRNA from 1 species
GACGAACGCUGGCGGCGUGCUUAACACAUGCAAGUCGAACGGAAAGGCCUCUUUCGGGGGGUACUCGAGUGGCGAACGGGUGAGUAACACGUGAGUAACCUGCCCUUGACUUUGGGAUAACUUCAGGAAACUGGGGCUAAUACCGGAUAGGAGCUCCUGCUGCAUGGUGGGGGUUGGAAAGUUUCGGCGGUUGGGGAUGGACUCGCGGCUUAUCAGCUUGUUGGUGGGGUAGUGGCUUACCAAGGCUUUGACGGGUAGCCGGCCUGAGAGGGUGACCGGCCACAUUGGGACUGAGAUACGGCCCAGACUCCUACGGGAGGCAGCAGUGGGGAAUAUUGCACAAUGGGUGGAAGCCUGAUGCAGCAACGCCGUGUGCGGGAUGACGGCAUUCGGGUUGUAAACCGCUUUCGCUCAUGACGAAGCUUUGUGUGACGGUAGUGGGUAAAGAAGCACCGGCUAACUACGUG